rnacentral:sRNA from 1 species
ACAAAAAAAGUAAAAAAAA